rnacentral:rRNA from 1 species
UUGCACGCUGGCGGCAUGCUUUACACAUGCAAGUCGCACGGUAACAGCACUUCGGUGGCUGACGAGUGGCGAACGGGUGAGUAAUACAUCGGAACGUGCCUAGUAGUGGGGGAUAACUACUCGAAAGAGUAGCUAAUACCGCAUGAGAUCUAAGGAUGAAAGCAGGGGACCUUCGGGCCUUGCGCUACUAGAGCGGCUGAUGGCAGAUUAGGUAGUUGGUGGGAUAAAAGCUUACCAAGCCGACGAUCUGUAGCUGGUCUGAGAGGACGACCAGCCACACUGGGACUGAGACACGGCCCAGACUCCUACGGGAGGCAGCAGUGGGGAAUUUUGGACAAUGGGCGCAAGCCUGAUCCAGCAAUGCCGCGUGCAGGAUGAAGGCCUUCGGGUUGUAAACUGCUUUUGUACGGAACGAAAAGCCCUCUUCUAAUACAGGAGGGUCAUGACGGUACCGUAAGAAUAAGCACCGGCUAACUACGUG